CCUACGGGAUGCUGCAGUGGGGAAUAUUGGGCAAUGGGCGCAAGCCUGACCCAGCAACGCCGCGUGAAGGAAGAAGGCUUUCGGGUUGUAAACUUCUUUUCUCAGGGACGAAGCAAGUGACGGUACCUUAGGAAUAAGCCACUGCUAACUACGUGCCAGCAGCCGCGGUAAGACGUAGGUGGCACGCGUUAUCCGGAUUUACUGGGUGUAAAGGGCGUGUAGGCGGGGACGCAAGUCAGAUGUGAAAACCACGGGCUCAACCUGUGGCCUGCAUUUGAAACUGUGUUUCUUGAGUACUGGAGAGGCAGACGGAAUUCCUGGUGUAGCGGUGAAAUGCGUAGAUAUUAGGAGGAACACCAGUGGCGAAGGCGGUCUGCUGGACAGCAACUGACGCUGAGGCGCGAAAGCGUGGGGAGCAAACAGGAUUAGAUACCCCUGUAGUC
rnacentral:rRNA from 1 species